GCCCAGUUUAUUAUUGGUGGAAGAGACAACCCAGAUACAAUGUACCUGAGAAGAGACCACCGACCUUAAAGCGUCCGUAUGAUGUAGACAAAUUUCACAACAGUGUGGUCAGCCACCCACAAGAUGAACAAGACGCUUGGAAAUAUACGACGAAGUCGAUUCACACGUAAACUCUUGGUUGAUUUGGACUUAAAAAUAUCGCCCUAUAAAGAAGAAUGGCAGAAACAGUAGUCGGCACGAUAUAAACAACCCCAAACAAUAUCUCCAAAAAAAAAAUUCCAGUUUUGGAAAUGCACGAACUGCGACGCUUUAUGCCAGCAUACUUCAUGAAGCACAUUAUUUUUAUAUUUAACUUGGAACCAUUUCUGUCGGAAUAUUCCCAGCCGUUAGAAUAGUCGUGCUAUAUUUAUCCAUAUUCAUACGCACAUCGUUCACAUUCAUGAGUUAAUGGCUACCAUUUUAAGUGGUAAAGAUAUCAAAAGUAAA